rnacentral:pre_miRNA from 1 species
AGCGAGGUAUGGAGUUCUUACUGUGAAAGCAGAUUGGUAGGAACUUCAUACCAUGCUCG